GGGACAUUACCGAGUUGCAAAACUCCCAAACCCACUGUGAACCAAUACCACUGCUGCUUCGGCGGACACGCCCCGGGCGCACCUCCUCAGGGGGGUGUGCCCCGGAACCAGGCGCCCGCCGGGGGACCGAAACCUCUGUAUUUACCAUUUGAGUACUCUGAGUGUGAUUUACAAAAUCAAAAUUAAAACUUUCAACAACGGAUCUCUUGGCUCUAGCAUCGAUGAAGAACGCAGCGAAAUGCGAUAAGUAAUGCGAAUUGCAGAAUUCAGUGAAUCAUCGAAUCUUUGAACGCACAUUGCGCCCGCCAGUAUUCUGGCGGGCAUGCCUGUCUGAGCGUCGUUUCGACCCUCGCGCCCGGCUUCUGUCGGGGGCGGUGUUGGGGAUCGGCCACACCCUUUACUGGGCGGCCGUCCCCUAAAUCCAGUGGCGACCACGCUGUAGCCUCCCCUGCGUAGUACUAAAACCACCUCGCAGGCGGAGAGCGGUGCGGCCCGCCGUAAAACCCCCCAACUUUUACAAGGUCGACCUCAGAUCAGGUAGGAAUACCCGCUGAACUUAAGCAUAUCAAUAAGCGGAGGA
rnacentral:sRNA from 1 species